rnacentral:rRNA from 1 species
AUGGAGUACAACCCAGAGUUUUUGUGUUGGAAUGUGCGCGGGUUGAAUAACCCUACGAAGAGGAAGGCGGUUAGGGAGUUCAUCGCCUCGAUCAAGGUUAAUGUGGUGUGUCUUCAAGAGACAAAACUUGAUGUAAUAGAUCAGUUUGACAUCAUGCAAUGCAUUGGGCCAUCAUUUGAUGGUUUUGCUUACUUGCCGGCUUCGGAGACGCGUGGAGGCAUUCUUUUGGCCUGGGACUCCACGGUGGUGAAUGUAGAUUGUGUGGCUCUUGAUACUUUCUGUAUACAGGCCGGGUGA